rnacentral:rRNA from 1 species
ACGCUGGCGGCGUGCUUAACACAUGCAAGUCGAGCGGUAAGGCCUUUCGGGGUACACGAGCGGCGAACGGGUGAGUAACACGUGGGUGAUCUGCCCUGCACUCUGGGAUAAGCUUGGGAAACUGGGUCUAAUACCGGAUAUGACCGCAUGCCGCAUGGUGUGUGGUGGAAAGAUUUAUCGGUGCAGGAUGGGCCCGCGGCCUAUCAGCUUGUUGGUGGGGUAAUGGCCUACCAAGGCGACGACGGGUAGCCGACCUGAGAGGGUGACCGGCCACACUGGGACUGAGACACGGCCCAGACUCCUACGGGAGGCAGCAGUGGGGAAUAUUGCACAAUGGGCGGAAGCCUGAUGCAGCGACGCCGCGUGAGGGAUGAAGGCCUUCGGGUUGUAAACCUCUUUCAGCAGGGACGAAGCGUGAGUGACGGUACCUGCAGAAGAAGCACCGGCUAACUACGUGCCAGCAGCCGCGGUAAUACGUAGGGUGCGAGCGUUGUCCGGAAUUACUGGGCGUAAAGAGUUCGUAGGCGGUUUGUCGCGUCGUUUGUGAAAACCCGGGGCUCAACUUCGGGCUUGCAGGCGAUACGGGCAGACUUGAGUGUUUCAGGGGAGACUGGAAUUCCUGGUGUAGCGGUGAAAUGCGCAGAUAUCAGGAGGAACACCGGUGGCGAAGGCGGGUCUCUGGGAAACAACUGACGCUGAGGAACGAAAGCGUGGGUAGCAAACAGGAUUAGAUACCCUGGUAGUCCACGCCGUAAACGGUGGGCGCUAGGUGUGGGUUCCUUCCACGGGAUCUGUGCCGUAGCUAACGCAUUAAGCGC